GGGGGUGUUCUGGUUUUGACAUCUGAUUAAUUGAUCGGCAAGCGUGCCGAGCGUUGGAAGGGUAGCUCGUUAAUAUCUAACUUUCAGCCAUUAACUGGCGAAAACAAUGUAAGACUCGCUGCGUAGUUAGCAAAGCUAACUUGCUUAAUCCUUGAGGCUCAAGGAGCUUCGGACGAGUAUCCCGUCGGAUUUUAUUUCUUCUUGAAUCCGAUAUAUGGGGUAUCAUCUUAAAGAAGAAUGCGGAGGCAGACUCCUUUAAUGCCUCUCAAGAACUAAAGGAUAAGCUGUUGUAUAGCCUGCUUUAGGGCAGACAGCAGACGAAAAACAAACUAAAGAUACGCACGUAGAAAACCAGUUGAUGGUCUGAUUGGACAGCGGUUCGACUCCGCUCACCUCCACU
rnacentral:tmRNA from 1 species